rnacentral:rRNA from 1 species
AUUGAACGCUGGCGGCAGGCCUAACACAUGCAAGUCGAGCGGAUGAAGGGAGCUUGCUCCUGGAUUCAGCGGCGGACGGGUGAGUAAUGCCUAGGAAUCUGCCUGGUAGUGGGGGAUAACGUCCGGAAGCGGGCGCUAAUACCGCAUACGCCCUGAGGGAGAAAGUGGGGGAUCUUCGGACCUCACGCUAUCAGAUGAGCCUAGGUCGGAUUAGCUAGUUGGUGGGGUAAAGGCCUACCAAGGCGACGAUCCGUAACUGGUCUGAGAGGAUGAUCAGUCACACUGGAACUGAGACACGGUCCAGACUCCUACGGGAGGCAGCAGUGGGGAAUAUUGGACAAUGGGCGAAAGCCUGAUCCAGCCAUGCCGCGUGUGUGAAGAAGGUCUUCGGAUUGUAAAGCACUUUAAGUUGGGAGGAAGGGCAGUAAGUUAAUACCUUGCUGUUUUGACGUUACCAACAGAAUAAGCACCGGCUAACUUCGUG